AGUUAUUAAGCUUAAUAGAAGCAUGUAUUUUGAAAAUACAAGAAAGAGAUUAAAUUCUCUAUUAACUU
rnacentral:tRNA from 1 species